GAGUGUAUAGCUCAGUGGUAGAGCACGUGCUUAGCAUGCAAGAGGUCCUAGGUUCAAUCCCCAGUACCUCCA
rnacentral:tRNA from 1 species